rnacentral:rRNA from 1 species
UCUUGGACAAUGGGCGCGAGCCUGAUCCAGCCAUUCCGCGUGAGUGAAGAAGGCCUUCGGGUUGUAAAGCUCUUUCGCAAGCGAAGAAACGUUACGGGCGAAUAACCCGUGAUAAUGACGGUACCUUGAUAAGAAGCACCGGCUAACUACGUGCCAGCAGCCGCGGUAAUACGUAGGGUGCGAGCGUUAAUCGGAAUUACUGGGCGUAAAGCGUGCGCAGGCGGUUUUGUAAGUCAGAUGUGAAAUCCCCGAGCUCAACUUGGGAACUGCGUUUGAAACUACAAGACUAGAGUAGGUCAGAGGGGGGUAGAAUUCCACGUGUAGCAGUGAAAUGCGUAGAGAUGUGGAGGAAUACCAAUGGCGAAGGCAGCCCCCGGGUCAUACUACGUCAGCACGAAU